rnacentral:tRNA from 1 species
GAGAGUGUAGCUCAAGUGGUAGAACAUGUGCUUAGCAUGCACAAGGUCCUGGGUUCAAUACCCAGUACCUCCU